rnacentral:lncRNA from 1 species
CUUUCUCCGGUUUUGGGCAAAUUCGCCGACGUUGAAGUUUCCGAUCGCCGACUCCGAUUCAUGCGACAAUGAAGCUUUCGUUUUCUCUCUCUUCAAAGCCAUCUUCAAACCUAAAAAAGCAGCCGCCGUCUUCUUCUCAGACCUUCCCCUCCAGCGAUGAUCCCCGCAACAACUCCACCACCCCCACUGAUAAAGAGUACGUCACUGAAUUCGACCCAUCCAAACCUCCGGCGAGUUCCACCAAAGACGCACUCAUAAUACCUCCAAAACCUAACGAAUGGCGCCCUAUCAAACGGAUGAAAAAUCUUGAACUCCCUCUCCAACCCGCUUCCGCCGAUCAACCGCUCCAAUUCGAACUUGACACUGGCGGCAC